UACGGAGGGUGCGAGCGUUAUCCGGAAUCACUGGGCGUAAAGCGUCUGUAGGUGGUUUAAUAAGUCAACUGUUAAAUCUUGAGGCUCAACCUCAAAAUCGCAGUCGAAACUAUUAGGCUAGAGUAUAGUAGGGGUAAAGGGAAUUUCCAGUGGAGCGGUGAAAUGCGUAGAGAUUGGAAAGAACACCGAUGGCGAAGGCAGGUCACUGGGCCACUACUGACGCUGAGGCACGAAAGCGUGGGGAGCAAACAGG
rnacentral:rRNA from 1 species